AAGAAUUGAACCACCAGAGGGCCUCAGGCGACUCAGGAGGUUUGGGAAGAGACAAAGGCACAUGCUUAGAGGGUCUGGAGAAGGCGAGGAAGAAGGAAGGGAGCCAAGUAAAACAUGUGACUGACCAGGGGCUUUGGAGAAGACAAGCCCUGCAGGAAGGCACGCAUGUGGUCAUUCUGUCUGUAGCCUCCCAUUCCUCCCUGCUUUCCCCAGCUGCAUCUACCUGGAUCCUGAAUUUGAACCAAGUGGUCCAAACGGCCCGGUCACCUGAGCAACCCCUCUGCAGGAACCGCAGGCACAAUAAUGGAUAUGAAGGUGUGACAAAAUUGUUGGCAUCAGAUGAGGUAAAAGAUUUGUACAAAAACAAAAAAGCACAAAAACUGGAAGCAGUCUGGAGUCUGUCAACAGGAGAAUGGAUGAAUAAGGGAACUAUCUGAUUGUGGCCUAUUUGAUGGAAUAUUACUCUGCAAUCAAAAGGAACAGACUGAGACUGAUACACGCAGCAUGGAUGAGUCUUCAGGACAUUGUGUCAAGUAAGAGAAGUCAGAUUCAAAAGAUGAAGUCCUUUCCUGAGCACUUACUACAUGCCAGACACCAUACCAGGGCUGGCUACAUACUCUGUUGGGAAGAAGGCUCAAAAAUGAAUCCUCUCAAGCAGACCCGCUUUGGUUUCCACCCCUCUAUUCUGAGAACCCAAGCUCAACCCAUGUGUUCUGCCUUCAGGUAGAAAAUGUCAGAAUCAUAGGGAAGACUAAGCUGAAAAAAGAAUUUGGAGUUCCAAAGGAAUUCUGUGCCACCUGCCGUCCGGCAAUUCCCUUUGCCAGGUAAUGGCAUGACAGUAAAGACGCACUCUGUUCUGAAUAAGCAGAGAACCGGCUUGGCCUAGGACUUACGUUGAGGUGGGUAAUGUUCGAAAAGACCCAUUUGCUAGGGCAUCUCAGGGAAGGCACAGAAGCCUUUGCAGGCGAGGCUGCAGAGAGAAGAAAACGCACGGGAGACAGUCCUGAUUCCAAGGGGUUACAAUUGGUUGGGGAGGCAAGGCAGCCACAAAGAAAGCACAGCAUGUUUGGGCCAGGUGGGUGCUUCCUUAGGACAGCACUGCCUGUUUGGGAAACAGUUGUAGAAACAGAUGGGACAAUCCUUGUCCAUCGAGAUGGGGUCAGAGUGACUGCACGAAAAUAUGGCUACCCCGAGUUACCAUGGCUACCAACACUUGCCCUCCUUCCAUGCCUACCAGGCAGGGUGGAGGAGCUUGUUCUUUCUGCAGCCUGACCCAGGAGAGGAGGUAAAGCAGAGGGCUCCCAGAGGCCGCCCUUGUAGGUCCUAGCGCAGCAGGGUGACGCUGGGCCAGGAGGGCCCCGGGAGUGGGGUGGGGGAGGGCCACUGGGUGGAGGUGCCCUUCAGGGCUGCAUCUCGUGGCGCCGGCUCCAGUUUCACUUCGGCUCCUGACCCUCAAUUCCCGUCUGCGGCCCGGGGACCUCGGCCUUCUCCCCAGCCACCUUGCUGGCUGGCCCUGUCUUCCCAAGGUCAAGUUAAAGAACCAAGGUGUGUAAGGUCAUGUCUUCCCAGUCAGGGGGCCGCCAUAUCUUGGUAUCCAAUGGACAACCUGCCUGCCGCUCACUCUCUAAAAGCCAAUGAUGAGGGAGCUAUGUGCUAAGCCCCGCCUCCCCACCCCAUGAAUGUGCACAGCACCACCUCGUGUCCCAGUAGCGCAGCUUUGGGGAGUUUGGAAACACUCCUGGUUUGGGAUUCACUCAGCAAAUAUUUAAUGUGUGUGUGCUGUGGCCAGGUAAAAUGCCAGGUACUAUCUUCCUCUACAUGGCAGGGACAGACAUGUGUUCCUCAAGCUCACUGGGGAUAGCACCACCUUUCUAAAGUUCCUCUCAUCUGUUGCCCGGCCUCCAAACCCGGUGGUCCUUUAUUAAUUCAGCUGUGGCAUGGGCGUUCAUACUCUCAGCUUCCUUUACUGCGUUUCCUACUGUUUCUGGCUUCAAGUUGUUGAAGUCAAAAUAAAAAAGUAGAGACUGAGCUCUAAAUUUAACCGUUUAUUUGGGAAGAAAGGAUUGCCACUUGGGACACACAUGCACACCGUAAGAACAAAGAGAAGGCUGGAGGUUUUACCGAAUGUUACCCAUUGCUCUUUGAGAAAGUUCAUUGGCACUAAUAAGGUUCUAGGGAGCUGGCAAGUUUCAACUGGUGGGCAAUGGCAUUGGGCAAAAUUAGUCCUAGAGUUGCAGCAAGUUAUCUCAGCAGGGUAGAUAAAACUGGUCUCAGGUUACAACAGUUGGUUUCAGCAGUUAGACAUGCGGAGAAUUACAUUCUUGGAGCAAUGCUAUCUUUCCUGAGUGCUUUUCCCCCUGGCUUUUUGACUUUGUUUUAGUUGGGUAUGACAAAAAUGACCCAAUUCAUUUGAUCAACUUUCGCAAACAUUUCUGCAACUAGCGGCAUCCCUGAUGUUGGUUUUAUUUUGU
rnacentral:lncRNA from 1 species